GGGGCUGUAGCUCAGUUGGCUUAGAGCGAUACGUUCGCAACGUAUAGGUCAGGGGUUCGAUCCCCCUCAGCUCCA
rfam:Lentisphaerae bacterium GWF2_50_93 gwf2_scaffold_570, whole genome shotgun sequence.